GAAGACCUCCGAUAAUGUUUGGACAAAAGAAUGAAGAGCUAGAAACAUCGGGAUGGCACUAGCUAUGAUCACAAUAAAAAUGAAUUUAAAAGUGGGCACAUUUCCAGUGUCUUUGGCAAAAAAGUGAAGAAUGAGAAGGAAGAAGAGACUUGAAGAAGGAAGAAUGAUAGAGACCAGGAAGAUCAUAGGUGAAGGAUGCCACUGAAAGUGCAAGAGGUGAAAAAACAAGUGAAGACGAGGAAAAUUAUGUUAGCAUAAGUGGUGAAGAUGAGAAGAUUUCAGAGUCAGACAGAGAGAAAGAAGACAGUGCAGAGGAAACUGAUGAAAGAGAAAAGGAAGGCACAGAGUCAGGGAAUCCAACCUAUCCAGCUGGACCACCUGAUCAAUGAACUUCAAUGAAGAGGUCCAGCAUUGCCACCCUGCCUAGACCUUUUGUGCCUCCUUUGCCCUUGCAUGUAAAAUUUUCUAGAUCCACCAAUGCCAAGGAUGAACCACAAGCGAAACAGUGUGUUUGAGGUACUGCCUUAAGAUACAUUCACAGGUGUGCCUCCAUGUAAGUUUAGUGUUGUUUAUUAACCUAUCAGGAAGGAUGUCAAUUUGUUUAAUGGCAUCAUAAUCUUAGUGUAUAGAAA